AUUGAACGCUGGCGGCAGGCCUAACACAUGCAAGUCGAACGAGCGGCGGACGGGAGAGUAAUGCCUGGGAAUUGCCAAGUCGAGGGGGAUAACAGUUGGAAACGACUGAUAAUCCCGCAUACGAUUGGAUUGCCAAGGCGGGUUUAGCUAGUUGGUGAGGUAAUGGCCCACCAAGGCGACGAUCCCUAGCGGGUUGGAGAGGAUGAUCAUCCACACUGGAACUGAGACACGGUCCAGACUCCUACGGGAGGCAGCAGUGGGGAAUAUUGCGCAAUGGGGGAAACCCUGAUGCAGCCAUGCCGCGUGUGUGAAGAAGGCCUUCGGGUUGUAAAGCACUUUCAGAGAGGAGGCGUUACUCGCAGAAGAAGCACCGGCUAACUCCGUGCCAGCAGCCGCGGUAAUUC
rnacentral:rRNA from 1 species